rnacentral:rRNA from 1 species
GUGGGGAAUUUUGGACAAUGGGCGCAAGCCUGAUCCAGCCAUGCCGCGUGCAGGAUGAAGGCCUUCGGGUUGUAAACUGCUUUUGUACGGAACGAAAAGACUCUGGUUAAUACCUGGGGUCCAUGACGGUACCGUAAGAAUAAGCACCGGCUAACUACGUGCCAGCAGCCGCGGUAAUACGUAGGGUGCGAGCGUUAAUCGGAAUUACUGGGCGUAAAGCGUGCGCAGGCGGUUAUGUAAGACAGAUGUGAACUCCCCGGGCUCAACCUGGGAACUGCAUUUGUGACUGCAUAGCUAGAGUACGGCAGAGGGGGAUGGAAUUCCGCGUGUAGCAGUGAAAUGCGUAGAUAUGCGGAGGAACACCGAUGGCGAAGGCAAUCCCCUGGGCCUGUACUGACGCUCAUGCACGAAAGCGUGGGGAGCAAACAGGAUUAGAUACCCGGGUAGUCC